rnacentral:ncRNA from 1 species
GGCUUAAUUUGACUCAACACGGGGAAACUCACCAGGUCCAGACACAAUAAGGAUUGACAGAUUGAGAGCCUUUUAUGAAUGCUAUGGGCUCAAACGAGGCGCUAAUCUUGAAGACUUCAGCUUCAC